rnacentral:misc_RNA from 1 species
GCGUGUGAUUGGUGAUUGGGUGGAAUGGGUUUGCAGGCUCCUUGCUCGUGCAUCGAACUGCAAGCUACCCAUCAUUUUCAUAGCUAUCCCCGAGCAUGUUACAUGUCUUGUGGGUGCGUUUGGUAUCCUGUAUUCAUUACCAAUGCAACGGUAUUCGGUGUCCUUGAUGCCUGCAUCCGCCCGGUGCCCGUUAGGGUGUUGGGCGGACAACAGGUUGGCUUCGUGCUCCUGGCRUGCCUUGCAAUAUUGCAUGGCUGCCGUGGCGCAUGGGGUUGUGCCCGCUCUCUGGGAUGCAGAUCGUUAUGUGUGUCGGCGAGGGGUUUUGGCCUCUACUCGUCCGCAUUACGCACCUGUCCAUUGACACGAACGACCGUCGCACUCGUCUUGGCUCGAGAGUUGCACAACUCUUCGAGGCCCCAUGCGAGUGUCGGCGUCGUGGAGGAAUGC